UCAGGUUAUGGUUAAUAUACACUACAGGCAAUGAGUUAAUAACAGUUUAUGCUUAUUUAGACAAAUCACAUAACAUAAAUAUAAAUUGGUGUGAAUUUUUUGUACAUCAUAUCCAACAUGAACAAUAUACAAAGUGCAAUAAGAAAUGAUGUAAGUUAAGUUUUGUUUUUAAUGUUAUGAUAUCUUGUUAAGUUAAGUUUGUGUGUAUUAGCUAUGUGUGUAUAUAUCUUUGUGUGUUCAAGAGUAUUUGUGUCUUUUGUGGGAGCAGCCACGGCAAGCAGAGCAGCUACCCAGCUGAUGUCGAACUUAGCAAGGAAUUGGUAUUGUUUUCAUGAAACUUUAAUGGCCUUGUUUUUCUUCGAUUUUUAUGGUCUAUUUAUUUCAAAUGGAUUUAUCUAUUUUCUUGCAUAGACUUUGUUACAAAAUGUUUUUUGCCUAAUUUGACUUUGGUCUCUUGAAGGUUUCAAGGAACAUUGAUGAGGUCUAUGGAGGAGAUAGCAUAGGCCUCAUGGGUUUGUAAAUAGUAAUUGUUUAAUCCUAUAGAAAAAUUGGUGGCUGCACAUUUUUGACAUCUUUUUCUUCACAAAUGAAAGUUCUGCAUCUAGUUUUUGUUAAUUUAUUUUAUCUUAUUUUUGGGAUUGGAGUAGGUAAGAAUUUGAGCUCUGCAUAAAAAGCUCUUUUCCUCCCUUUUUUUAAUGGCUGAAGAUCUCUGUUUUUUUCCAUAAGGGUUCGGUGAAUUACGUAUGUCUCCAUUGUGUUAAACCAAGUAUGGCUAUGUCUACCUUUGCAAUUCACAUCCUCGGUGAUGUGCCUUCCUCUCCACAUGCUGGGAUUCUCUAGCAACAGCAAGCAGUACCUAUGGUUGCUACUUCUCUCUCUCUCCAAUAAAACCCCAUUUCUUUAUCUAACUAUAAUUGAUUUUUGAAAUCAAACCCAAAUGGAUUCGAGGCAGCAGUCGUGGGUUUACUGAGCAGAUUUGGUGGAUUUGAGGCUACAACGGUGGUGGAUUUAUGAAGCAGAUCUGUGGGUUUGAGGUGGCUACCGUGAAAUCUAAAUCUUGCUACAUCUUCCUAUGAGGUCUUUCAAUGCCCAUUAAAACUACUUAAAACCAUACUAGUAUUUAUGCUUAAAGAUUUGAAUAAAUGAGUUCUAUGAGAUUUUUCAUGUUCUUUUGUGUAUAGAUCCAUAAACAUAAAGCCAAGCAAGAACCCUCCCAAAAAAAAAAAAAAAAUUGUCUUCCCUAUAUUAAGUAGUAAAGCCAAUUUUGUAAAUUGAUAUGACACUGAUCUAAAACUUCAAAAUCAACAAACACAGUUUGGUUCUUCAAAAUCAUGAAGAGAUUAUAGCAGCCAGGUA